rnacentral:rRNA from 1 species
ACGGACGAGAAGCUUGCUUCUCUGAUGUUAGCGGCGGACGGGUGAGUAACACGUGGAUAACCUACCUAUAAGACUGGGAUAACUUCGGGAAACCGGAGCUAAUACCGGAUAAUAUUUUGAACCGCAUGGUUCAAGAGUAAAAGACGGUCUUGCUGUCACUUAUAGAUGGAUCCGCGCUGCAUUAGCUAGUUGGUAAGGUAACGGCUUACCAAGGCAACGAUGCAUAGCCGACCUGAGAGGGUGAUCGGCCACACUGGAACUGAGACACGGUCCAGACUCCUACGGGAGGCAGCAGUAGGGAAUCUUCCGCAAUGGGCGAAAGCCUGACGGAGCAACGCCGCGUGAGUGAUGAAGGUCUUCGGAUCGUAAAACUCUGUUAUUAGGGAAGAACAUAUGUGUAAGUAACUGUGCACAUCUUGACGGUACCUAAUCAGAAAGCCACGGCUAACUACGUGCCAGCAGCCGCGGUAAUACGUAGGUGGCAAGCGUUAUCCGGAAUUAUUGGGCGUAAAGCGCGCGUAGGCGGUUUUUUAAGUCUGAUGUGAAAGCCCACGGCUCAACCGUGGAGGGUCAUUGGAAACUGGAAAACUUGAGUGCAGAAGAGGAAAGUGGAAUUCCAUGUGUAGCGGU